CAGUUCGGACUGUAGUCUGCAACCCGACUACACGAAGCUGGAAUCGCUAGUAAUCGCGAAUCAGAAUGUCGCGGUGAAUACGUUCCCGGGUCUUGUACACACCGCCCGUCACACCAUGGGAGUUGGUAAUGCCCGAAGUCAGUGACCCAACCGCAAGGAGGGAGCUGCCGAAGGCAGGACUGAUAACUGGGGUGAAGUCGUAACAAGGUACC
rnacentral:rRNA from 1 species